AUCUGUUAAGUAACAGAAACCCCAACUUACUGUGACUUAACAAAAAGGGAUUUCUUUUUCUUGUAGAAGUCAGGGUGAGCAGUCCAGGACUGGUGCAGAGGCUGGAUAAUGUUCUAGUCCACCCACUGCAGUGGGCUGGAGUUGCUCACGGUCUGAGCCCUCCCCUGCAUCUCCAGGCACCGGGCCCCAGUUCAAGGUUGAAACCAGGGACACAGGAGUCGCAGCAGCUGUGUUUUUCCUUUCACCAAGAAAAUGAAAGCUUUCCCCAGAAGAUGGAGAUAUUUCCACUUUCAUCUCACCGGACAGAAUGAUGGCACUUAGGUGCUGGGGAAGUGAGAAAUUUGUUUCCUAUAGAAGGGGUUUCCCGGAGAAGGGCUGGAGAUGACAGGUCACCAGCUCAGCAAGGUCCACAGCGCUGCUCUCUGGGUAGGAGGAGACGGCCUCUGCCGGCCUGCAAGGCCUGUUCAAAACACCCUGAGCCUGGGGUAUUUAAGGUGCUUCGUGCCUGAUUCCUUACAACUCACUCAGAGCAAAUGGUUUAGACAAGCACCAAUCUUGAAGGAAUUGAAAACACUUUGCUAAAUAAAAUGAAUCAUUUCAGAUUCCCAAGAUUAACUGGCGUUCUGUAGGUCGGCACAAAGUCGUGGCUUUGCCAUCUGACGGAGGACGCGCAGCGGUCGUCUCUGGCUGGGUAGACUGAGACCUGAACGCUGAGGGACUUAGGACCAGCAGUGCCGUCCAGGCCUGGCUGCAGACGGAAACUACUUCAAGAUAAGCUCCACCAAAAAUAGAGAGGAAAUCAAGAAGAUUAAGACGCAGGAUCCAGCGCAACGCUCCAGCACAGGAGAGACCAAAAGAACGUUUGACAAUCCACUGACUUCCUAGAAAACAGAAGAGUGGGCUGGGCAUGGUGGCUCACGCCUGUAAUCCCAGCACUCUGGGAGGCUGAGGUGGGUGGAUUACCUGAGAUCAGGAAUUCGGGACCAGCCUGGAGAAACCCCGUCUCUAAAAAUACAAAAAUUAGCCGAACGUGAUGGCGCACGCCUUGUAGUCCCAGCUACUCAAGAGACUGAGGCAGGAGAAUGGCGUGAACCCGGGAAGCAGAGGUUGUAGUCAGCCAAGAUCGCGCCACUGCACUCCAGCGUGGGAGACAGAGCGAGAGUCCGUCUCAAAAAAAAGAAAAAAAAAAAAAAAGAAACAAAGUUUAGCUUUCCCAUGCCCCCACCCCCCGCACCGUUGCCCGCCGCCCCCCCCCCCCCCCCCCGCCCCAUUCAUUCUUUCAAGCUGGGCCCAGGGCAACAUUAAAAAACAAACCUGUAAUCAGUAUUUAUAUGAUAUGGCAUUUUGUGUAUUCAUCUCAGCUGAGUCAGUUGUAUAUCAUGGUUAAUUACCAUUAUUUUACAACUUUGGAAAGCCCCUCAUCUUCCCGCUCCCGGAUGGACCACGAGUUCUCCAGGCCCCUGUAUGGCUAUGGACCAAGACUUCUUUCAUGAUGACCUUGGGAACUGCUUUCGUCUCUCCUACUUUGGGUUCCCUAUUUCCCCGAGUCAAUGCCAUCUUUUUCUGGGUUUACUCCUUCAGUUGUAGCGAGUUAAAGACUGAAUGGAGAUGAGGGAGGUGGAAAGUAAGUACAGCCUCUUCUUCCGAGACAUCUGCUUAGGAAGAGAGGGAAGGAGCCUCAUGAGGAUGUAUUUAGAAGUAUGGAGGCAGAGACCAGCAGCAGGCCAGCUAAAAAGUUAAAAGUAGUUCCCGCGGGGGAGGUGUGCAGCUGGGGACUGUUGUUUCUCAAUUAUGGGGCUGUGGUGCCAAUAAACCUCGCAUGAGUAGCAACUCAGCAGGCCCAGGAUACGUGUUGGAAGGGGAAUGAGGGAAGGGGCAAUUCUCCAGGCAGCAGGGAGAGCGUGAGCAGAAGUCACUGCCAACACUCCCACCACAGGA
rnacentral:lncRNA from 1 species